rnacentral:rRNA from 1 species
AGUGAACGCUGGCGGUAGGCCUAACACAUGCAAGUCGAACGGAAACACAGUAAGCGCUCGCUCUUAAGGGUGGCGAGUGGCGGACGGGUGAGGAAUACAUAGGAAUCUACUUUUUCGUGGGGGAUUACGGAGGGAAACAUACACUAAUACAGAAUAAGUCCUACGGGUGGAAGCAGGGGAUAUUCGGACCUUGCCCGAUUCAAUGAGCCGGUGCCGGAUUAGCUAGUUGGGGGGGUAAGGGCCCACCAAGGCAACGAACCGUAGCUGACCUGAGAGGAUGAUCGGCCACACUGGAACUGAGACACGGUCCAGACUCCUACGGGAGGCAGCAGUAGGGAAUAUUGGGCAAUGGGCGCAAGCCUGAUGCAGCCAUACCGCGUGAGUGAUGAAGGCCUUCGGGUUGUAAAGCCCUUUUGUUGGGAAAGAAAAAAAGCGUAAUAAAACCCCGAUGUUCUGACGGUACCCAAAGAAUAAGCACCGGCUAACUACGUG